rnacentral:lncRNA from 1 species
CGGGAGAGAAGGGAGCUCCUGCCCGGGUGGGUGGAGCUCCCGGACCCAGGAUCUUCCGGGACGGGAGUCUCGCCUCAGCUCCCUCCCAAGAAGUGCGUUUCAGCCGUUUCCUGCUGGCUUCCCGGAGCUGCCCCGCUUUAUGCAUGGACGCCGUGUGCCCUUCCUGGGAACCGGGUCCCUCGUGUGCUCAGAGGGUCAUGGUCGGCGUCCUGCGGGAGAAUCGAUCCCCUGAUGUGCGGAAACAUCGAUCUAGUUUGGGGGAUCCAAGUACAGACCCGCCCUUCCUCAUGCUGACAAAUAAAGACGGGAAUGAGGGCCCAAAGCUGUGCUGGAUGCCAGCAUCAGCAGGCAUCAGCUUUGAAACCAUUGAGAAACACCAGAUUCUGUCCUCCAGGAAGCUGACUGAAAAGACUGAAUGCCCCUUCUGAGUGCACACCUUAGGCGAUCACUUCUUUGAAACAAUAGGAGGAUCAGAACUCCAUCCACAAGCCAAGGACCUGCUCCAUCGGAUCUAUCCUCAAAAAUCAUGUCUCUAUUGUGCAACACGGGACCAAUAUAUAAAAGGCCCUCAACCCACUCGUAUAAGAGAUGUUGCUUUGCUUCCAGGAUAUUGCCCAAACCAUAUAAAAGAACAGAACCAAAUGGCCUCCAAGCCUGAUUGGGCACUCGGUGGCAUAAGAUAUAUCUGGUUUCCCCCACAAUUGGCCAUCAACUUAUUAGUUCAUUUAUUUUGUCAUACCCCCACAGUGCCAAGAGAUUCACAUACUUGUUUCUGGGGGUUACUUUAGGAGUCACUUGAUCAUUACCAAUUAUAUUGGGUUAUUGUGUUCCUUGAUUCUUUAGAACCCCAUGCUCUAAAAUCAAGGGUCCCACCAAUUUUUAACUCUUUCCUACAAGAAUUCAGGUCUAGAUAUCUGAGAGAUAAACCUAGUCUCUGGCAUUGUUGUCCGCCUAACAGAUAUUCUCUUCUUGUUUCUCCAACACCUCUCCAGGAACUAGCAGUUCAGCAAUUAUUUAUUAAUGCCAGACAAAAAGCUGAAAUUGAACUAGAGGCCCAACUGAAUUGGAACUGGCACCACAGGCGUAAAGCCAAACCACAGGGAUCCAAAAAAAAAAACAGAAAAAAAAUUUGAAUAUUUGGCUCCCUAUCCUCCCCCACCCAAAGAGUUCCCCUUUCCAUCUCACGGACCUGGGGACCCCUACCCCAUUUUUUUAGGUUCCACAUCACCCCCUCUCAGCCAGAAGUAGCUUAAUGAGGAUGACACCCAGAUUCCCAUGAUUGGGACCCUAAGGUCCUUGAGAAGGGGGAAAUGUGAGGACCAAGUUUCCAGGUCACGCUGGGCUCCAUGCUCCUUACCCAGAAUAAAAUAAAUGCAAAAGUUCCUUUCUGAAAAAUUCCAUUCUAUGUGGCAGUUUCUCUGUGCUUUGACAAUUACAGUUCCCCUUUUAGGACAUCUCCACCCUGCUUCUGUUUCUCUUUUUAAGAUAAGCUUCUUUUUAUGUAAUUCAAUUAAUAUAGAAAUUAAGUAUAGUUGAUAUAAAAGCUUCUUUUUGGGUGAUCUAAUCAAUAGAGAAAUUAGUUAUAGUUAAUAUAGGAAUUAAUUAUAGUGGAUAUAGACAGUUAUAUAUCUUAGCAAAAGUCAGAAAAGAGAAAUUGUCUACUGAAAAGAGGAAUUCUCUAAUGAAGGCCUUAGAUAACUUUCCAAUACAUACCCUCCCAACACCCCAUGAUAAUUUUGCAAAUGUAAACAUUAGAUCAUGUUCCAAUGUGCCCUCCUGAUGCCCCUUGAUGAUAAGGGAAACCUAAAAAUAGUAACAGAAAAAUCCUAUAUAAACUUGGUUCAAAGUUGGAUCUGGGCCCUCGGUCUAAAGCCGCUGUGAUGGUCACACCUGAGAGUCCAGGCUCGAGCUUACAAUAAACUCCUCUUACAGUUACAUCAGAC